CCAAGAGCAGCAGCAGCAGUGAAGUA
rnacentral:misc_RNA from 1 species